GACGAACGCUGGCGGCGCGCUUAACACAUGCAAGUCGAACGGAAAGGCCUGCUUUCCCUUGUGGAUUGCGGGUACUCGAGUGGCGAACGGGUGAGUACCACGUGAGUGAUCUGCCCCCAACUUGGGUAUAAGCCUGGGAAACUGGGUCUAAUUCCCGAUAGGACUGCAGGGUGGUGCCUGUGGUGGAAAACGAUUUUCUAGUGGUUGGGGAUGAGCUCGCGGCCUAUCAGCUUGUUGGUGGGGUAAUGGCCUACCAAGGCGGCGACGGGUAGCCGGCCUGAGAGGGUGGACGGCCACAUUGGGACUGAGAUACGGCCCAGACUCCUACGGGAGGCAGCAGUGGGGAAUAUUGCACAAUGGGCGGAAGCCUGAUGCAGCGACGCCGCGUGGGGGAUGACGGCCUUCGGGUUGUAAACUCCUUUCGACCGCGAGGAAGCCACCUGGUUGGAAGGGUGGUGACGGUAGUGGUAGAAGAAGCACCGGCUAACUACGUG
rnacentral:rRNA from 1 species